GGUUUCCACUGGUACAUUACAUGAGCCAUCACCAAAUAUAACAAAAAGACAUUGACCUGGAGGCAUCCGCUCACCGGAUUUAUGUAUUUCUAUCUACACAUAAAGUUUAUGAGUUGCUUCCUAAGUCAAGCAAGGCUCAGUAAUGACAGAACCAUCAUACUAAAGACUUGCCAUCGUUUGUUUGUGAUUGGAAGAUUUCCGUUACAUCCAUAUCUUUUGUGACAUAAGUAGAAAAUCAUCAUGGCAAAUGUGAGGUUUCUUAUAGUUUUCGAAGGUGUUUUUCAGAACAUAUAUACAAGAUGAUGUUUUGGUA